GUCAAUUUGAUAGUGGGAACAAAUAAUUAGAUGUCCCUUUUUAGGAGGGGUUAGUUUUUUGUGCCCAGUUUAAGAAUACUUUUAUCAUGUGAUUAUGAAGUAUACAGAAAAUAUCUGUAUGCUUAUGAUUGUGCAUUUAUUUCCCAGUGAUAAGAG
rnacentral:ncRNA from 1 species